rnacentral:sRNA from 1 species
GAAAAAAAAUGUCCGCCUAAGGAGACCCACAAGUUCUAUUCGGGGGGACCGACAGCCCGCCCCGGGAGGAAGGGGCGGCCAGGCCUGAAAGCCGCCUCCCCCUCCCAGACCCGAGAGCUCGUGCGGGGCAAAGUGAACCGAGCCGCUGGGCGGUGCAAGGUGAAGCCCAAGCCCGUUCUCCCGGCCAAAGUGAACUUUAAUCGGGGUGGUUGGAUGCGGAGACGGGGCGGCAGGACCUGCUAGAAGUGGCCGAAGAUGAAUCCCCAGCAACAACGCAUGGCUGCUAUAGGGACCGACAAGGAGCUGAGCGACCUGCUGGACUUCAGUGCGAUGUUUUCCCCACCUGUUAAUAGUGGGAAAACUAGACCAACUACACUGGGAAGCAGUCAAUUCAGUGGAUCAGGUUUCACAGAUUUGAAUACCAGCCUCCAAUAUUUCAGUAUGGAUGAAAGAGGAGGUACAACAUCUUGGGGAACAAGUGGUCAACCAAGUCCUUCCUAUGAUUCAUCUAGAGGUUUUACAGACAGCCCUCAUUACAGUGAUCACUUGAAUGA